rnacentral:ncRNA from 1 species
CCUGCCGCUGGGUCGCCUGCGGCAGG